rnacentral:lncRNA from 1 species
AGACAAUGAAUUCAAGGAAGGGCCAUGAACCAGACAUAGAGGCAAAACCCACAAUAGAGCAGUAGAGACUUCACAAUCACCUUAACAAUUCAUACACCUCCUUCAACAGGUCAGCUUCAUUUAAAUUAAAUAAACAUAGAUAUAAGAAAUUGACUCAAACAUGUUAGCUUCGAUGCUAACUAAGCCUCAUACCAUAUAUCAUCCCUUCAUUGAACUCCAAUAAACAACCAUUCCCUAGCAUGAAGACUGUAGUAUCCAACCAGCCUAAAGUCCCACCGGUCAGGUGAGGUGUUGAAUCAAUUCCGAAGUACAACCAAAUAUUAAGGAGGCUGUUAUAUUUUUAUAACACAUUUUAUAAUUGGAUAUACAACAAAACUUAAGGUUUGUAGAAACAACAUAUGUGAACUGAGGUAUUGGCUUUUAUUUUUAAAGGGAAAUGUUAACCGAUGCCUACUAGCACUGAUAUAUAUAUAUAUAUAUAUUAAAUUAAAAACAAUAAAGAGAUUUAGAAAUCAAGAUUAAAUCAAGCGCACCACCAAAACAUACCAACAUAGUAACACUGUCUUUUGUUUCAUAUACCAGAUCAUGUUAUGCCAAAGAACUGCAGAUGACAGUAGAUGAUGGACAGUACAAAUCAUUAGCAGCAGCACUCAAUCAAAUGAAUAACAUACAAGAACAAACAAGUAUUACUACAGAUAAAAGGGAUUAUCACUACACAAUCAAAUAAUGAUAAGGUCAAUAAGUAAGUAUUAAUAAUCUUAAAAGAUGAAUGAGAGGAUUUAUUUCUAACAUUAUCACAUAGAAAGAAAGGAAAAACAAUCUAUUACAAAACAUACACACAAUAAAACUCCUGAUAUCAUUACUAUGUUUUUUCCACACAAUUCCAAUAAUCGAUGCAUCAAUUCCCAAGACAACUCCUUAUCUUUUUUCAUUUGGGUUUGCAUCCCAGGAUGCGGAGGAUCGCAAAUUAACAGAAACAUCAGAAGAAAGCACACAGCAAAUAGCAUCGAAAGUAUUACAAUAGUAUUUAGAUUACAUAUCAUGAAAAGAGUUAAUACAAGCAUAAACAUGAGUUUGCGAAAUACACAACAAUCAAUCCAUGAAUUAUUGUUAUUAUAUGAUGUGAUCAAAGGGCUUCCUUAACGCUAACGGCAGGAAUCUUUACAUACCCCAUCUUCUUAGGGCUAAAUUCUUCAUCGCUCUCAUCAUCCUCCAAACAAGCGCGAUGAUACUCCAAGCGGGCGGAGAAGAGGGUCCACACCAAGUACAUGGUGGCGGCAGUGAGAGCGCCACAGCCGACGCCAAAGAGGAG